UACGUAGGGGGCAAGCGUUGUCCGGAUUUAUUGGGCGUAAAGAGCGUGUAGGCGGCUUUGCAAGUCCGUUGUGAAAACUCGAGGCUCAACCUCGAGACGCCGGUGGAAACUGCAAAGCUAGAGUCCGGAAGAGGAGAGUGGAAUUCCUGGUGUAGCGGUGAAAUGCGCAGAUAUCAGGAAGGACACUCGUGGCGAAGGCGGCUCUCUGGGACGGUACUGACGCUGAGACGCGAAAGCGUGGGGAGCGAACAGG
rnacentral:rRNA from 1 species